GAUGAACGCUGGCGGCGUGCCUAAUACAUGCAAGUCGAGCGAACAGACGAGGAGCUUGCUCCUCUGACGUUAGCGGCGGACGGGUGAGUAACACGUGGAUAACCUACCUAUAAGACUGGGAUAACUUCGGGAAACCGGAGCUAAUACCGGAUAAUAUAUUGAACCGCAUGGUUCAAUAGUGAAAGACGGUUUUGCUGUCACUUAUAGAUGGAUCCGCGCCGCAUUAGCUAGUUGGUAAGGUAACGGCUUACCAAGGCAACGAUGCGUAGCCGACCUGAGAGGGUGAUCGGCCACACUGGAACUGAGACACGGUCCAAACUCCUACGGGAGGCAGCAGUAGGGAACCUUCCGCAAUGGGCGAAAGCCUGCCGGAGCAACGCCGCGUGAGUGAUGAAGGUCUCCGGAUCGUAAAACUCUGUUAUUAGGGAAGAACAAAUGUGUAAGUACCGAUGCACGUCUUGACGGUACCUAAUCAGAAAGCCACGGCUAACUACUU
rnacentral:rRNA from 1 species